CUUAGGACCGUUAUAGUUACGGCCGCCGUUUACUGGGGCUUCAAUUCAAAGCUUCGCUUACGCUAACCUCUCCUCUUAACCUUCCAGCACCGGGCAGGCGUCAGCCCCUAUACUUCGCCUUGCGGCUUCGCAGAGACCUGUGUUUUUGCUAAACAGUCGCCUGGGCCUAUUCACUGCGGUUCUCUCGGGCUUGCACCCUACCAGAGCACCCCUUCUCCCGAAGUUACGGGGUCAUUUUGCCGAGUUCCUUAACGAGAGUUCUCUCGCUCACCUUAGGAUUCUCUCCUCGCCUACCUGUGUCGGUU
rnacentral:rRNA from 1 species